AUGGCGGUCGGGAUGGGUUAUAACGAUGCAGCACUGAAGGACUUUUUUAACAACUGUCUGGAUGACCCUUUACCUCAAUGGGAGAUGAAGGGGCUGGAGAUCCUAGACUUUUGGGGGUUUACCCAUUACCUGUGCCAUCGUGCUCAAUGGGAUACUUCGACCACACCUGUGUCUCCAGAGAAGAGGGCCGCCAGCCCAGCGCCACAGCACAAGAUGGCCACCAACCCAGCGCCACAGCACAAGAUGGCCGCCAGCCCGGCGCCACAGCACAAGAUGGCCGCCAGUUCAGCACCACAGCACAAGAUGGCCGCCAGCCCAGCGCCACAGCACAAGAUGGCCGCCAGCCCAGCACCACUGCACAGGAGGGUCGAAUCUACACCUGUGUUGGCAGACAAGAUGGUUGACUCAACGCCUGAGUCUUCCGUCAAGGAGCCACCGGCACGUCAUCAUAGAGGCCGCAGGAGGAGGAGACAGGCGUCAGCCGUUCCUCAAAGCCCGGAGGACGUUCCCGAGCAGGCCGCUGCCGUCCAGGAGGACGUUCCCGAGCAGGCCGCUGCCGUCCAGGAGGACGUUCCCGAGCAGGCCGCGGUCGUCCAGAUGGAGGUGUCCAAGGUUCCCGAGGCGGUGCCCGAUGCCGAGGCCGUUCCCGAUGCCAGGGCGGUGCCCGAGGCGGUCCCCGAUGCCGAGGCGGUGCCCGAUGCCGAGGCGGUGCCCGAUGUAAUGCCCGAGACCGAGGCUGUUCCGGAGGUGCCCGAUGUUGUUCCCGAUACCGAGGCGGUGCCCGAUGCCGAGGCGGUGCCCGAGGCGGUUCCCGAUGCCGAGGCGGUGCCCGAUGCGGUGCCCGAUGCCGAGGCGGUUCCCGAUGCGGUGCCCGAUGCCGAGGCGGUGCCCGAGGCGGUGCCCGUUGCCGAGGCGGUGCCCGUUGCCGAGGCGGUGCCCGAUGUUGUUCCGGAGGCCGAGGCGGUGCCCGAUGCGCAGGCCGAGGUCGUUCCCGAGGCGGUGUCCUUGUCCAACGCCGUUCCUGAGGCCAUUCCUGAGGCCGUUCCUGAGACCGGUCUCGAGGCGGUGCCCGAUGCCGAGGUCGUUCCCGAGGCGGUGUCCUUGUCCGAUGCCGUUCCGAGGCCAUUCCUGAGGCCGUUCCUGAGCCGGUCCCGAGGCGGUGCCCGAUGCCGAGGUCGUUCCCCGAGGCGGUGUCCUUGUCCGAUGCCGUUCCUGAGGCCAUUCCCGAGGCGGUGCCCGAUGCUGUUCCGGAGGCCGAUGCGGGGCCCGAGAUGGUUCCGGAGGCGAUACCCGUGUCCAAGGCCGUUCCCGAGGCGGUGCCCUUGUCUGAGGCCGUUCCCGAUGCCGUUCCCAAUGCCGUGACCUGGCCAUCGCCACAGCCUGCUCCUUACUGGCUCCCCGAUUGGCAGGUUCCGUUCGGGCCACUCAAAUGGCGAAUUCCUCCCUGGCCGUCUGCACAACGAGAAUGGACUGAUCCACCGUGGCCACCUGAACUGCCUGGCCCCUCGUGGUCCCCCUGAACUUGCGGGUCCACCGUGGCCACCUGAACUGACCGAGCCACCUGGGCUACCAGGGGAGCCAUCACUGCCGGUCCCAGUUCCCCUACACGGGCCUGGCCCGCCAUCCCUCCCCCUGUUCUGCCUCCACCAGUCCACCUCCCUCCUGGUCUCUUUGUUUUUUGGUUAUUUUGUUCUGAGGAGCAUCUGGAAGCUGCUCCUUAGAGGGGGGGUAGUGUCACGGUGUCUGUUCUGUGUCUCCCUGGGUGGCCACUAGAGGUCUCACUUCCCCUUAUCGUCACUCCACUUUAGAACUGCAUUUCCCAUAGUCUUGUCUGUUUCAUCACUGCUCAUUGCACUCAGCUGUCCGUGGUUAUCAAUCAUUGCACUCAGCCAAUUCCCCGUUAGCAUUGUCAUUUCCUUGUGUAUAAAUACCCCGGUUGUUCUGUCAUUGUCACGGAGUCCUUGUUGAAUGUCACCCUGGUUUGUCGUGGUUCUCGGAUGUUGUGUAUGUUUCUUGUUUCUGGACUGCUUACCUGGAUUGUGACCUUUGCCUGGCUGACCAUGAGAUUUGGAUUAUCCUAAUAAAACAUACUGCAAUUGGAUCUACCUGUUUGUGUGCGUGUCGUGACAAGACCAUGCCUUCGUGUUGUUUUAUGAUUUAAUACUCUCCUUGCUGCGCUACACUGCUAUCCACCUUUUUCUUGUCGUAAAAAUUGGCGCAGCCAUUUGUAAAUUCUAUGAGUCUGGCUUCCGGUCUCAUCUGCGUCCACUCCGUCCAGCUAUUUUUAACUGAACAAAACAGUUCAUUUUGCUGCUUGAUAUUGAAAGUUGG
ensembl:lncRNA